AUUGAACGCUGGCGGAAUGCUUUACACAUGCAAGUCGAACGGUAGAGGGGGCAACCCCUCGAGAGUGGCGAACGGGUGAGUAAUAUAUCGGAACGUGCCCAGUCGUGGGGGAUAACGUAGCGAAAGUUACGCUAAUACCGCAUACGAUCUAAGGAUGAAAGCGGGGGAUCGCAAGACCUCGCGCGAUUGGAGCGGCCGAUAUCAGAUUAGGUAGUUGGUGGGGUAAAGGCUCACCAAGCCAACGAUCCGUAGCUGGUCUGAGAGGACGACCAGCCACACUGGAACUGCGACACGGUCCAGACUCCUACGGGAGGCAGCAGUGGGGAAUUUUGGACAAUGGACGCAAGUCUGAUCCAGCCAUUCCGCGUGCAGGAUGAAGGCCCUCGGGUUGUAAACUGCUUUUGUACGGGACGAAAAGGUCUCUCUUAAUACGGGGGACUCAUGACGGUACCGUAAGAAUAAGCACCGGCUAACUACGUGCCAGCCGCCGCCGUAA
rnacentral:rRNA from 1 species